CUACGGGUCGCUCCAGUGAGGAAUAUUGCACAAUGGGGGGAACCCUGAUGCAGCAACGCCGCGUGGAGGAUGACGCAUUUCGGUGUGUAAACUCCUUUUAUAUGUCAAGAAAAUGACGGUAGCAUAUGAAUAAGCACCGGCUAACUCCGUGCCAGUAGCCGCGGUAAUACGGGUGGGUGCAAGCGUUACUCGGAAUCACUGGGCGUAAAGGACGCGUAGGCGGGUUGGAAAGUCAGGUGUGAAAUCCUACAGCUUAACUGUAGAACUGCACUUGAAACUUCUAAUCUAGAGUAUGGGAGGGGGAGAUGGAAUUAGUGGUGUAGGGGUAAAAUCCGUAGAUAUCACUAGGAAUACCUAAAGCGAAGGCGAUCUCCUGGAACAUUACUGACGCUAAGGCGUGAAAGCGUGGGGAGCAAACAGGAUUAGAUACCCCUGUAGUC
rnacentral:rRNA from 1 species